GACACUUUAGCGAAGUGGCCUAACGCGCUCCCCUGCUAUGUAAUCAGCCUAGGGAGUCUCUUCGGAGGCGCAGGUUCGAAUCCUGCAGGUGUCG